ensembl:rRNA 5S_rRNA 5S ribosomal RNA
GUCUAUGGCCAUACCACCCUGAACAUACCAGAACUCGUCUGAUCUUGGAAGCUAAGCAGGGUCGGGCCUGGUUGAUACUUGAAUGGGAGAAAGUGGACUUCUACAAAUC